rnacentral:lncRNA from 1 species
AUGCAUUGUGCUUACUGUCAAGGACUUUUUGCAAGAAAGGUCCUGUGGCGACAUAUGCGCACUUGUAUACUUCAACCUCAAUCGGUCCCCCUCAAACCAGGAAAAAAACGUGUUCAGUCGAUGUGUAUAUACACAGGGCCUGUGCCUUCAAACAUGACUAAACAACUAUGGGAAGUAAUUAGUGUCAUGAAUCUUGACCCAAUCACAGAUAUAAUAAAAAAAGACAAAGUAAUUAUUGAUAUUGGUCAGCAUUUGUUAAACAUGGGUGGGCUAUCAGCCAAGAAUAAACGGUGUGUGCGAGACAAGAUGCGAGAAUUGGGAAGGUUGGUUCACAAUGCUAGGAGAGUCACCUCCUUAAAAACAAUGGAAGAUUGUGUGAAUCCAAAGAAGUACAUGGAGACUGUCAAAGCUGUCAAGUAUACAUGUGGGUAUGAAUCUGACAAGUUUAUGAUUCCAUCACUUGCAAAGAAGCUUGGGAAUUCUCUGCUUCAAGUAAGCAAACUCUUAAAAGCUCAGGGCUUAUUGUCAAAUGACAAACAGCGAGUGAAGAAUGCCAGUGAGUUUCAAGACGUCCAUCAGGAAAAGUGGAACGAAAUGAUCUUAGACACAGCAUUGAGGAAUAUUAGGGAAGCAAAGUGGAAUGUGCCCGCUCUCAUGCCCUUUACUGAAGAUGUCCAAAAAAUGCACACAUAUCUCUGUCAAGUGCAAGAUGAGUGGUACAAAUCACUCUCUGAAAGUUCCUCUACUAAAGCCUGGAUGGAGCUGGCAAAGGUCUGUCUAGCCCAGAUAAUUCUCUUUAACCGACGCAGGGGAGGAGAGGUGGCGAGCAUGCCAUUGUCUGUGUUUUUUUCAGGAGACACUUCUGAUCCACAUGACGGUGUGGACUGGGCACUGUCCGAAGUAGAAAAAAAACUCUGCAGACACUUCUCAAAGAUUAUCACCAUGGGAAAGUGUGGUCAACCAGUUCCAAUUCUUCUGACUCCAAAAAUGCUGUGUUCCUUGGAACUCCUUGUUAAGCAGAGAGAGCCUUGUGGGGUUCUAAAAGACAAUGGUUACAUGUUUGCAAGACCAGAAGCCAUGACACAUUUCCGAGGGUCAGACUGCCUCCGUGGCUUUGCAAAAGCAUGUGGUGCAAAGUGUCCCAAAUCACUGACAUCUACCAGACUGCGAAAGCAUGCUGCAAUCCUUUCAACAGUGCUGAAUAUGACCAAAACGGAGAUGGACCAGCUUGCAAACUUUCUUGGACAUGAUAUAAAAAUUUAUCGUGAAUUCUGCCGACUCCCUGAGAAGACCCUGCAACUCGCCAAGAUCUGCAAAGUUCUAAUGGCUCUCGAACAAGGAAGAUUAGCUGUGUUCCAUGGCAAGAACUUGGAUGAAAUUGUGAUAGAUCCUGAUGGUGUGUUUGUUGAUUUAUUUUUUCUUUGUUUGCUUGUUCUGUGUUUACCAUAUAUUCCUUUCUGCUAA